GAUGAACGCUGGCGGCGUGCCUAAUACAUGCAAGUCGAGCGAACAGAUGAGGAGCUUGCUCCUCUGACGUUAGCGGCGGACGGGUGGGUAACACGUGGAUAACCUACCUAUAAGACUGGGAUAACUUCGGGAAACCGGAGCUAAUACCGGAUAAUAUAUUGAACCGCAUGGUUCAAUAGUGAAAGACGGUUUUGCUGUCACUUAUAGAUGGAUCCGCGCCGCAUUAGCUAGUUGGUAAGGUAACGGCUUACCAAGGCAACGAUGCGUAGCCGACCUGAGAGGGUGAUCGGCCACACUGGAACUGAGACACGGUCCAGACUCCUACGGGAGGCAGCAGUAGGGAAUCUUCCACAAUGGGCGAAAGCCUGACGGAGCAACGCCGCGUGAGUGAUGAAGGUCUUCGGAUCGUAAAACUCUGUUAUUAGGGAAGAACAGAUGUGUAAGUAACUAUGCACGUCUUGACGGUACCUAAACAGAAAGCCACGGCUAACUACGUG
rnacentral:rRNA from 1 species